rnacentral:lncRNA from 1 species
CUAAACUUCAAAACUGUGACAUUGCACACUUUAUCACAGGUUUAAAUACUAAUUCAUCUGUUGUAUAGUGAUAUUAUUUUGGCAUGAAACAAAAAAUACAACUAUUUAUUACAAAAAAACUACCGCAGGAAGGAUUUUACUUACAGCUCUCGAAAACAGGUUUGCGGGAUAACUUUUGAACGGCGUGACGUCAUUACACGAAAUUUCCCGGGGUUGGUCAGUCUUGCGUAGUGACGAAUUUUGAAGUGAAAGCCUUGCGUGGUUUUCGAGUAAAUCGCUGUGUUUCAAUCGUCCCGUGUUUCAAUCGACCCGGCUCUCCCCUAUCUCAACUGAACCCAGAGUGAAUACAUAAAAUACUUCCUUAAUGACUUCCUCACACUUCCAUCCGGUGAGAGCCUAGAAAGUAGAAAGUGAGAAAUGUUUCAGUCGUUAUUUCUCUCCCUUGGGAUCUCAACCUCUCCGCUCCAUGGAGCCAUAGGGGCUGCAACUUUGACACAGUAAGGAUCAUUAGGGAGAACCCAGCCUAGCAGUUCUACUUUGUUCCUUUAUUAGCUAGUUUUGAAUGAUCUAACUACCUAGCGAAUUAAAACUUCAGGUGGGUACAACCCCUGCUCCCUGAUCCUGACCCAACCGGUAUGAGGUCGCAUUAACCGGCUGACCCAAACACGCACGGACAUCUAGAUGUUUAUUCGCCGCGAGCGACGUCCUUUGCGAUAAACCACAGUGUGCUCGCAGCGAUCCGAAACUCGUGAUCGUUCAUUAAGUCGCCGCGGCUUCCUUUACGGGUAUAUCGACCAUGUUGCCCUUAAAGUCGACAAUGUGUUCUUCCUUUCUCCUGCUUUAUCUUUCUUGUCCAUUUGCCCGGGUAAUGAAACAAAGCCCUCCUGCAGUGUGGUAAAGGAAGGCCCUGGCAGACCAAUCCUCAUGUUUGCACAUCUUCCCAUCAUAACCAGCAGCGGGGUGGCUGUCAAGGCCAAACACUGAGACGUGAUGGAUGUCUGGUGGGACAGGGCUGACCCCAUUACGGUAAAUCUCAAGCGAUGCCCAUUUGGAAAAUAGUCUGUCAGCCGGAGUCGACGCCGCUGACCUGCCUGUCAUCGAGUGUCACGG